GUCUACGGCCAUACCACCCUGAACGCGCCCCAUCUCAUCUGAUCUCAGAAGCUAAGCAGGGUCGGGCCUGGUUAGUACUUGGAUGGGAGGUGGGAAGGGUGGACGCUGAGGGUA
rnacentral:rRNA from 1 species